rnacentral:lncRNA from 1 species
AUUCCUUGCUCUAGGGGAAGCAGGCUGACAUGUUGUGAGCUGCUUUAUGGAGAGACCCACUUGGCAAGGAAUAGACAUCUUAAGCUAUUAGCCAACAAGGAUCUGAGGCCUGCCAACAGCCACAUGAGCAAGCUUGAAAGUGAAGCCUCCCACAUCAAACCUCAGGAAGACUCCAGUUCUAUCCAACAUCUUGAUGGCAACCCUAUGGGAGACCAGGAGCUAGAGGCAUCCACUGAUCUUUGCUGCAGUGGAGGCUGUCCGCAGACAGUGACCCUGAGAUGUGACUCUUCCAGUCCUGGUUCUUCUCUGGGGUUUGCAGCUGAAACCUGGGGCCCCAUCACUCAUGUCACACACUUGCUCUUGGUUCAGGCAGGCCUUAGGAACCUGCCCUGGACGAUUUCCUGGUCACCUGCCCUGGCCACCCUGACCACCCUCACACCUGCCCCAUUGCUUUCUUCGUAGCAUUUACUUGUGUAGCUACCUACCUGUCUCUUGACUGCAUUUCUCUACUAAAACUUUAAGUCCCUUUCCAGAUUAUUUACUUCGGGGUCUCCCAAGCCUUGGGAAUGUGGACAGUUAGAUCCUUCUCUAGUCCUUUCUGUGUCUCUAUCCCCACCUCCAUGCCCAGACCCAUAUACGUACCAUUCUACAUCAAUGAAGAACAUGGACUUUAAAAUUUUUGGAGUAUAUUGUGUUUUUCUCUUUUCUGUUUCCUGACACAUUCAUUUAUUCAUUCAUCCAACAAAUGGUAAUUAAGUGCCUCUCCAUUGCAUAAGGAUCUGGAGAUAAAACAAUAAAAAAGACAGAAAGCUUCGGUCUCCUUGGACU